CGAUAUUCCAGACCUCGGGACAUUUCAGACCCCGAGUUUCCGUCAUUUUUGUUGUUGUUGACAACAGAUAGAUUCUUAGAAGAAAAAAAUGAAAAUAGAAACACGUUAACUAAGUCAUUCAGAGAGAACAGCGUGAACAAGAGAGAGCACGUUUCAGUUAUCACUCAUUAGAACAGAUACGUGAGUGCAUCAUUUGUAUCAUUUAUAAAGAGCUACCUUACAGUGGACUUACAAACAAGUUCUACGGUCACCACAACCAUCCCGUCUAUAAGACCACAUGACGGGACACACUGUGGCUAUUGUGUGCGGGUGUGUCUCUGGGGCGAUAAUGAAAAACAGUUUGAGAUAAGGGCCAGAAAGACAUGCUGUUGGAGAGGACAAGAGGAAGAUGAAGGAGGGACACGCAGCAUGGACCUGAGCCCUAGGACCUGAGCUCCAGGACUACCUGACAUGAUGACUCCUUGCUGUCCCCAGUCCACCUGGCCAUGCUGCUGCUCUAGUUUCAACUUCCACCUGACUGUGCUGCUGCUCCAGUUUCAACUGUUCUGCCUUAUUAUUAUUCGACCAUGCUGGUCAUUUAUGAACAUUUGAACAUCUUGGCCAUGUUCUGUUAUAUAUAUCUCCACCCGGCACAGCCAGAAGAGGACUGGCCACCCCACAUAGCCUGGUUCCUCUCUAGGUUUCUUCCUAGGUUUUGGCCUUUCUAGGGAGUUUUUCCUAGCCACCGUGCUUCUACACCUGCAUUGCUUGCUGUUUGAGGUUUUAGGCUGGGUUUCUGUACAGCACUUUGAGAUAUCAGUUGAUGUACGAAGGGCUAUAUAAAUAAAUUUGAUUUGAUUUGAUCAGACCAGGACUGUGUCAGAUACAGCCCUCCCCAGGACCACUAAUCCAUUGACCAUGCUAGUAGCACACAGUGUGAAAUGAAUCAUCCCAAUGUGUGUAUAUAUGAUCAUCACAUACUGUCCCUGCUACUGCUAAUAUGUAUCAGUAAAAGUCA
ensembl:lncRNA